rnacentral:lncRNA from 1 species
ACUAGACGGUGUUGCAGCCUUAUGCACCAACUUCCAAGCUCAUUUAAAGACCCCUCCAAAUAGUCCAUAUUAUUAUACUGAUUCUUCAAUAUGACAUCCCCGAUGCAUAUGAUACAUCCAAGGAAUAGGGAAACUUUUGAACCAUCAAGAAUAAAUCAUUUUACUAGGGAACAUUUAAAAGAAUUGACGGUUGAGGAUCAUUUCACAAAAGGAUGUUUUGCAGAACCCUAUGGAUGAACAUAGGUUAAACAAAAGACUAACAUGUCACAAACAAUUACAAAAAUAUGUAUCCUGGUAAACUGCAAUAAUUUUAAAGGGUGAAUAGUCAGUCAUAUAAGUAUCAAUCAUCAGAAAAAAUCAUGAAGUAACAUGUUACUCAGAUUAAACGUCAUAUGGAUCAUGAUAAAAAGACACACAAAAUAUGCAUUAAAUCACUAGAAAAACAAUAAUACCUUUCAUAACUCAUUUGGUUGUUUAUUAUUUCCGUCCGCAUUAAAUCACUAGAAAAACAAUAAUACCUUUCAUAACUCAUUUGGUUGUUUAUUAUUUCCGUCUCAAUAUUCACCCACUCUACUGACCAUAUAUCCCUCUCCCUCAGUAAAUAUUUGAACUUUUUUUAUUUAGUUCUUGAGUUCUCAUGUGUUCUCUGUUUUUUUAUGUUUGCUAAUUAGAAUGCGCUCAAAAGGAAGGUUUAAUUUAUUCAGAUGCGAGGUAAACUGUUACCAUGUAAAUGACAAGUGGUUAUAACUUUGAACAAUCCCAGUCUAACCUUAUUUGUCCUGUUAUCCCACCAGUCAAGAGGAUUAGCAAAGAACACUUGCAAUUACCUUGCAAUUUUAGAUUCUGUUGGGAGUACCACAAAACGGAAUAUAUAAAGUUAAGUUCAUUACCUUGCAAUUUAGUUUCUGUUGGGAGUACCACCGAACUAGCAAGUCAAUGGAAGAAUUAGCUCUCCCUUUGAUUCCUAUCCUAGCCAAAACUUUUGCAGAGUUAUGGAUACAGGAAACACUUGCAUAGAAGCUUGCAAGCCAACUUACCUUGAUUCUCAUUCUCACCGCAUUUGUUUUCUCUACUGCUGUCCCUUGUACUAUUUGCAGUUGUAGCUAGGGCCAUUACAUACUACUAACACGAAUUUUUGCAUGUACAGGGCUACAGGCAGUGGAUGCAAGUGAUAUGUGCCAGUCUAAGAACUUGCAUAAGCUAUAUUUAGCUAGUUUAAGUUCAGAGUAAUUAACCAAGCAUGGAAUUAGGAGUCUACUGCUAGUUAAUAAAUAAUUAAAAGCACAUAUCAAAUACAAAUCAAACAUAAGCAGUCAAGAGGUUAGCUGUCCAGACAACUCUACUGAUUUUUU